AUUGAACGCUGGCGGCAUGCCUUACACAUGCAAGUCGAACGGUAACAGGUCUUCGGAUGCUGACGAGUGGCGAACGGGUGAGUAAUACAUCGGAACGUGCCCGAUCGUGGGGGAUAACGAAGCGAAAGCUUUGCUAAUACCGCAUAAGAUCUAUGGAUGAAAGCAGGGGACCGCAAGGCCUUGCGCGAACGGAGCGGCCGAUGGCAGAUUAGGUAGUUGGAGGGAUAAAAGCUUACCAAGCCGACGAUCUGUAGCUGGUCUGAGAGGACGACCAGCCACACUGGGACUGAGACACGGCCCAGACUCCUACGGGAGGCAGCAGUGGGGAAUUUUGGACAAUGGGCGAAAGCCUGAUCCAGCCAUGCCGCGUGCAGGAUGAAGGCCUUCGGGUUGUAAACUGCUUUUGUACGGAACGAAAAGACUCUUUCUAAUAAAGAGGGUCCAUGACGGUACCGUAAGAAUAAGCACCGGCUAACUCUGUGCCAGCCGCCGCCGUAA
rnacentral:rRNA from 1 species